UACGAAGGGGGCUAGCGUUGCUCGGAAUCACUGGGCGUAAAGGGCGCGUAGGCGGCCAUUCAAGUCGGAGGUGAAAGCCCAGGGCUCAACCCUGGAAUUGCCUUCGAUACUGUUUGGCUAGAGACCGGAAGAGGUAAGUGGAACUGCGAGUGUAGAGGUGAAAUUCGUAGAUAUUCGCAAGAACACCAGUGGCGAAGGCGGCUCGCUGGGACGGUACUGACGCUGAGGCGCGAAAGCGUGGGGAGCGAACAGG
rnacentral:rRNA from 1 species